AGCUGUCAGCACAGAGCCCGACACAGGGCUCGAACCCACUGACCACGAGUUCAUGACCUGAGCCAAAGUCGGACGCUCAACCGACUGAGCCACCCAGGUGCCCCUAUUAAUGUACUUUUUAAUUCUUGUUAGUAUUCUAUUCUCUUCCUCCUGUUUUUUUUCUUAAAUGGAGAUAUAACUGACAUGUCAUAUUAUGUUAGUUUUAGGUGUGCAGUGUAAUGACUUGAUAUUUACAUGUAUUGCAAAGUGAUCACUGUAAUAACUGCAGUCAACAUCCAUCAUCACCGUCAUCCAUCACGAGAGUUAACAGCUUUUUCUCUUGUGAUGAGAACUUUUGAAAUCUACUCUUAACAACUUACAACUUUCAAAUAAUGCAACGGGAUAUCAUUGACUAUAGUCACCGUGCUGGAUAUGACAUCCCCCUGCCUCAUUUUAUAACUGGAAGUUUGUACUUUUUAACCCCCUUCACCCAUUUUUUUUUUUAAAGUAGUGCACCUACUUACAUGCUAGAAGAUAGAUCCUUGCUGGUGAGCUUGUACUGAAUGCACCCCAGACCUUUUCUUCUCUGUCUGCUUUCCAGAAGGGGUCACUUUGAAUCAUUCCCACUUUCUUCUGGUGGUCACCUGCUGGCUGAUGGACAGCUUGCUCAUAAUGGGUGUCUUGAUUUAUCCAUUUGGGACAAUACUAAUGACUCCUGCAAUGACGGAUGGAUGCUGACAAGACUACUUCCCUGCCCUCUCCAAUCAGUAUUUCAUGUUUAUUCUAGUCCCUAGUGGUUUUGUGUUCUCAGCCUAUCAGAGGUGACUUCUACCAGCUAGAACAGCUUGGGGCACUCACCUGGGCAUUUCCCCAACCAGAGCCCAUGUUGUGGUUGGAUCGGCCCUUGUGGUUCUCUUUAGGAUUGUAAGAUGCCCUCAGCAAUAAUCAUCAGGAAACUGAAAAAACAAGGUUUAUUACUGACAGAUCUGGAGGAUACACAGCCUGUCUGAGGUCAUGGGACUGGGUGGGGGGAGGGAGGGACGGAAGGAAGGGAGAGAGAAGGAGAGAGAGAGGUGGGGAGGGAGAAUACUCAGGAGCCUGGGGUUCUGCCUUUAUUGGGGUUGAGGGUGGAGCCUAGGGUGAACUGGUGAAUUCAAAACCUAAAGUGGGAAUUAACGUGUGGGAAGAGGAAAGCAAGCAGUCCAUCAGUCCACCGUGAGGUAUGUAGGUCACCCAGGGCUUUCUAGAAAGGGGAGCAUCAGGGGUGGGGCUGCCUGGUCCCUUAUCUAGUUGAAUAACUGGCCCCGUGUCCGUUCAUUCAAGAUGGAGGUCUCUGAAAUGGAGGCAUCAAGAAUCAAGACUUAAUGUCAGGCACUUACAAUUGUAUAAGCCAAUCAUUGGGUGCCUACACUACACUAUAUAUUGUAUUUCAACCUUGAUUUCUUUUCCAUAGUUGUGGUCAAUAUUUCUGGGCUUCUGUGUUAGAGAAGAGCAUUCCUCACCUUUCCCUCCUUCCUCUCCCCACAACCUCCUCUCAGUUUUGUUCUCAUUAUGUUUUUACGGACAAGAUGAACAUCAUUUGCUCUGCUCUGUAAUUAUGCCUGUGUCUAUCUUGACUUUGUCUAUUCUUUGAUUCCAGUGCUUGAAAACAAUAAAUUUCGUAUCACUCUAACCAGAUGGCUGCCAUCAGUUGAAGAAUCAGCCAGUGUGCUGGCCCACCCUUCCUUUUCUACGCAGUGACACAUUUUUAAGCAUUGUGCACAAGUGGGGGAGAGGGAGAGAGAAUCUUAAGCAGGCUCCAUGCUCUCCGUGCAGAGCCCGACAUGGGGCUCGAUCCCAUGAACUGUGAGAUCAUGAUCAGAGCUGAAAUCAAGAAGUCGGUGCUCAACCAACUGAGUGACCCAGAUGCCCCCUUUUCUUUUUGUAAAGCUUUAGCUAUUAACCCAGUAAGUAAGUUGUUAAAAAAAAAAAAACAAAACGGGUCUUAGCUCAAAUGGCUCCACUGUUGAAAUGUGAGUGUAACAAAUUGUGCUGGACAUGAUUUGAGGCAUUAAAACUUCACAGGUGAAGAAGCCCCUAGUCUUCCAUUCAGUUUUGCUGUGAACCUGAAACCACUUUAAGAAAUAAGGCCUGCUAAAACAACGACAAUAACAUUCUGCAGUUGGAUGUUUGGAGCAUUCGGUCAGCCUACAAGCUGCUGAUUUGGGAAGGACCGAGAGGCACCCGUGACUCUCCAUAACAGACCUGACAAUCGAAGGGACUUGUGGUGGCUGUGGUACAAGCAGUGGCCUGAGCCACGGCCCCAUCUCCCCGUGGGCUUAGGAAUACCCUGCAUUCCUGAUAUUCCUGUAGGGAAUUAGAUGAUUGGAUGUUUUAGGGAACGGAUGGGAAGCCUAGCGUCCCCUGUUACUGGUAUGGGAUGGUCUCUGAUGGCGUCAGUUGCCCAGAUUGUCUCUUUUGGAGGAACAGCAUUUAUGUCACAAGGCUCUGUUGGCGCAGUCCUUGUCCUGUUCAUUUGCCUAAUCAGCCAUAUUUUGGCAUUCAGUAAAAGCUGAGGUUGCUGGGGGCUGGAGGAAUGAAAGCUAAGCAGGCCGCCCUGCAUUUCGAGUAUUUUGGCGCGUGGCACGGUGGGAUCUUCUGUUUGCAAAUGCACCAAACGGUUCCUGUUUCUUUGGCAGUAGGUGGGACAGACGUGAUGCCUGCUCAGGCCAGGGAUGGGGGCGGGGGCCGGGGCCAGCCCCGGGCUUUUCCUCCUGAGGACAACUGGGAAUUGCGGGAAUGGACCCUUCUAAGCAGGGAGAACAGAACACAUGAGUGGGAAGGAUGGACGGGAGCCAAGCCAGGAGACAGGUGACCGGAGGGCGGCUUUUGCUGCCUUCGUGGACGAGCGAGGGCCUUAUCCAAGAGUGGUAUCCGAGCAGGAAAGGACCUGGUAUCCCCAGGUCAGGUGGGGGAGACGCUUGGAGGACACAGGCCAGAUGCGGUGCUAGAGUGUUGAUGUAUUAGCUUUCUCGGGCUGUUGUAACAAAUUAACACAAAGUUGGUGGCUUAAACAACAGAAAUUUUUCCUCUCACGGUUCCAAAGGCUAGAAAUCCCAAAUCAGGGUGACAUCAGGUUUGUACCCUCUCUGAAGACCCUAGGAGGGGUCCUUCCUGCCUCUUCCAGCAUCUGGUGGCCCCAGACAUUGUUGGCUGUGUCUGUACCACUCUACCCUCUGCCUCUGUUUUCACAUGGCCUCUCUGUGUGUCUGUGUCUCAUCCCCAGGACGACCUCAUCUCAAGAUCCUUAACUUGAGUAUGUCUGCAAAGACUCUUUCCAAAUAAGGUCACAUUCACAGUGAACAGGCAGAUGUGACGAUAUGAAGGAAGAGGGAGGCACUUCUGCUAAUGCUGUCAUUUGGACAAAAGAUACCGCCAUUCACCGACUCGGGAAAGUUUGAGGACAUGCUGUCUUGCACGUGCUUUGGGGACAUACUGUUUUUCGCAUAAGCCAGGCAGACUCUCUCCAGCCAGAAACAAAACAAAACAACAAACGACUCACACACCCUUUAAAAUUGACUGUGCUUUCCACUGUGAACCUUUUGAUUCAAAUUGAAUGUAUCUUUUAAGUUUGUGAGAUUCUUCUUUUCGCUGGUGUUAGGUUUCUGGGCCUUCGUUUGUUUCCCAAGAGCACUGGAGUUUUCUUGCUGUCUUUCUUUCCUGGGCAGAGAGAUGACUUUGACAUUCUCUUAGGGGCCCAGGCCAGAAGCCAGUCACCUCUUACCUCUCGCCUCACGUCCACAUGUUUGUUUUCCUGCCCCACAACUUCUGGCUUUGCUUCCUUUACCCUCCGCCAAGCUGCCCCCUUAUUCGGUGACGCUGCCUCCUUCUGACAGGAGGCUUCUAAUUGCAUUCCCGCCUCUGACCCUGCUUUUCCCCGUGCCCUCCACAGCACUGUCAAUACCGUAUUUUAUAGUAACCGUGGUUCAGUGAGGUGUAAUUUACAUACAGUAAAGUGCACAAGUUCGGAAUGAACAGCUGCGUGACUUUUGACAAGCUCAUGCACCUGUGCUUCGUCCCCCAGCUUGAAAUAGAAUUUCCUCUAUUUUCUACUCAACCCCCGCCCAUCAGAGGCCACCACUGCUCAGAUUUCUGUCCCCACGGGUUAGUUCAGCCAGCACUGGGACUUGGGUGGAAUCACACAGUGCGUGCCCUGGUGCCUGGCUUCUUUCCUGCGACAUCAUGGUUUUGAGAUCUGUCCGUGCUAUGUAUGUGUCUCAAAGUUGCUUUUAUUUCUUUUUUUCAUUUUUAACAGCUUUAUGGAGGUAUAAUUCAAUAUAUGCAUGUACACACACACACACACACACACCAUAUUCUUUGUCCAUUUAAAGUAUAGAUGUAAAUGGUUUUGGGUGCACCCAGUUAUGACUUUAUUUAGUCGUAUAUAUACAUAUAUAUCUAUAUAUAUAUUUACUUAUUUAUAGUGUGGUGUAUAUAUAUAUAUGUUUAUAUUUAUAGUGUGGUAUAUAUAUAUAUACACAUAUGUAGUGUGGUAUAUAUAUGUAUAUAUAUAUGUUUAUAUUUAUAGUGUGGUAUAUAUAUACAUAUAUAUAUAACAUAAAAUUUCCCCUUUUAGCCAUUGUAACGAACACACAGUUCAGUAGCAUGACUUACUCUCACACUGUUGUGCAAGUGUCACUGCCAUCUAUUUUUAUCACCCCGAACAGGCACCCUGUAGCCACGAAGCAAUAACUCCCCAUUCCUUCCCCUCCUCCCCCCCGCCCCCCCCCCCACCUGCCUUGGUUCUGGGAGACUGUAACCUACUUUCUGUUUCUGAGUUUGCCUCUUCUAGAUGGCACAUAGAUGGAAUCAUAGAGUGUCUUUUUGCGCCUGGCUCCUUGCACACAGCAUAAUGCCUCCACGGUUCAUCUGUGUUGCAGCACGUGCUAGAGUUUCAUUCCUUAACUUAAAGAGAUAGUACCCCAUUGUACGUGGCUGCAUUUCUCGCAUCCACUCAUCUGUUGAUGGACACGUCUGUUGAUGCCUCUUGUCGCUCUCAUGAAUCAUGGCGCCAGGAACAGGGCUGUACAAAGAUCUGUUCAGUGCCUAUGUUAAAUUCCUUCGGGUACAUCCCUAGGAGGAGAAUUGUUGGGUCACGUGGUCACCCCGUGUUUAGCUUUCCAAGGAGCCACCAAACUGUUCCACAGUGUGGCACUAUUUUACCUUCCGACCAGUGGUGCCCACGGGGUCCAGUUUCCCCACAUCCUCGCCAACACGUGAUGUUUUCUGUUUUUCUUGAUUAUAGGCAUCCUAGCAGAUGUGGGAUAUCUCACUGUGGUUUUGGCCGUUUGUAUAUCUUUGGCUCAGUUUUUUUUUUUUUUUUUUUUGUGCCAUCAGUCCUUCCUGAGAUAUAAUUUACACACAGAGAAAUGCAUAACUCUUAAAGGUACAGUGAGUGAAUUCUGACAAAUAUAUGCAUAUAAAUAUUACCCCAAUUGAGAUGUAGGAUGUUUCCAUUACCCUGAAAAGUUCUCUCCUACUCCUUCCAAUAAUCCCCUUUACUGUUUUUUUAUCACCAUCGAUUAAUUUUGCCUGUCCUUGGGUUUCAUCAAAUGGAAUCAAACAGCAUGUAUUUUGUUACGUCUGACGUUAUUUCAUCGGAUGCAGUGUGUUUGAGACCUAUUGCUGGUGUUGGACGUGUCAGAAUUUUGUUCUUUUUUGCUGAGUGGUAUUCCUAAACUUGAGUAUAGCAGUUUCCUUAUCCAGUCUUUUGAGGAUGAAUAUUUGGGUUGUUUGCAAUUUUUGGCUGUUAUGAAUAAAACUGCUCCAAACAUUCUUAUGCA